rnacentral:tRNA from 1 species
GCGGGAAUGGUGGAAUUGGCAGACACACCUGAUUUAGGCUCAGGUUUUUGGGGGUUCGAAUCCCUCUUCCCGUA